rnacentral:rRNA from 1 species
UACGUAGGGUGCGAGCGUUGUCCGGAAUUAUUGGGCGUAAAGAGCUCGUAGGCGGUCUGUCGCGUCUGCUGUGAAAUCCCGAGGCUCAACCUCGGGCUUGCAGUGGGUACGGGCAGGCUAGAGUGCGGUAGGGGAGAAUGGAACUCCUGGUGUAGCGGUGGAAUGCGCAGAUAUCAGGAAGAACACCGAUGGCGAAGGCAGUUCUCUGGGCCGUAACUGAUGCUGAGGAGCGAAAGCGUGGGGAGCGAACAGG